rnacentral:rRNA from 1 species
GAUGAACGCUGGCGGCGUGCCUAAUACAUGCAAGUCGAGCGAACGGACGAGAAGCUUGCUUCUCUGAUGUUAGCGGCGGACGGGUGAGUAACACGUGGAUAACCUACCUAUAAGACUGGGAUAACUUCGGGAAACCGGAGCUAAUCCCGGAUAAUAUUUUGAACCGCAUGGUUCAAAAGUGAAAGACGGUCUUGCUGUCACUUAUAGCUGGUUCCGGGCUGCAUUAGCUAGUUGGUAAGGUAACGGCUUACCAAGGCAACGAUGCAUAGCCGACCUGAGAGGGUGAUCGGCGACACUGGAACUUAGCCACCGUCCAGACUCCUACGGGAGGCAGCAGUAGGGAAUCUUCCGCAAUGGGCGGAAGCCUGACGGAGCGACGCCGCGUGAGUGAUGAAGGUCCUCGGAGCGUAAAACUCUGUUAUUAGGGAAGAACAUAUGUGUAAGUAACUGUGCACAUCUUGACGGUACCUAAUCAGAAAGCCACGGCUAACUACGUG